ACGGACAUAUCUUAUUGUCCUUAUAUAAAUCCUUGGUAUUCCCACAUCUUGAAUACUGCGUACAGAUGUGGUCUUCUCAUCUCAAAAAAGAUAUUCUAGAAUUAAAAGAGGUUCAGAGAAGAGCACCUAAAAUGAUUAGAGGUUUGGAAAGGGGCCCAUAUGAGGAGAGAUUAAAGAGGCUAGGACUUUUUGGCUUGGAAAAGAGGAGACUAAGGGGGGAU